GCUUACAAAAUGGCUCUACCUCAAAAAGACAACCAGUUAAAGCGAUGUUGUACAUUUUGGAAAAACGGACUUUAUUGGUCUAAUGGUCGUGGUGUAGGAUCACUGGUAGAGAUUGUGGAUGAGAGCCAGUAUGUACUAGUAAUGAUGUCCUUUAAAGAACACAUUAUGAUGUCAGUAGGAAGAGAUGUGAUAGGAGAGGUAAUGAGUGUUUAUAAAGAAUCCUGUCCCAGUCUAGAGGUAAAAGAGUUAGUUAUUGAUCCUAAAGAACUAGCCUAUCCUGUGAAUACACCAAGAGAAAGGACAGUGUAUAGUGUAAAAAAGAUACUGUCUGCUAUUGACAAGGGAGACGAUUGCUUAGUUCAUGAUAAUGGAACAAGUACAAGAUUGAAGGAGAUCCUACCUGAUGAAUCAUUAUCAGAUAUUAGUAACCUGUCACUAUUAGGAGGACGUGAUAUUAAGGGAGAUGGAGGAGUAAAGUGUAAUAAUAAUAAAGAUAAAGGAACAACAACCAACACUUCGAAUGAAUCUCAGGAACAUGGAAGUACUUCAAUAGAGAAAGGACAGUCUGAUAUUGAUGUACUUAAGGUCAAUGAUAAAGUUCAAGAAGCACAGACUGAUACACUGCUUGAGACAGCAAUUCAAAAUGAGGAACCAGCUACUAAUUACUCACCCACACAGAUCAGUGAGUACAAUGAUGAUCAACAAAAAGUUAUAUUGACUAUCAGGGAUCUGGUAGAUAUUUUACGAGUGUUAAAAGAUGGUUCCUUUCAAACUAUCAAAUGGUUUGAUCUUGGUCUCUACUUGGGUCUGAUUCAUAAUGAUCUCAAGGUUAUUGAGACUAACUAUCCACGAGAUGCUGAGCGAUGUCUUAGAGAAUGUUUAGCAAAAUGGCUUACAGAUGAUAUUGAAGCAACAUGGAACAAACUAGCUAUUGCUGUAGGUGAAGUAGGAGAGACAUCAGUUGCUGAAUAUAUACAUGAUUUAUUUCCUUGAGAGGUCCAACAGUGCUAAGAUGACAUUAAGUAGAGCAAGAGAACUGUUUCCUAUUGAAGUUGAGCAGUUUGAGUCCAAUAUAGAAUUAAUCUGUGUUGUUAUUAACUUAA
rnacentral:misc_RNA from 1 species